CAGUGAGGGAGCUGAACUGUAGCAACUUGCCCUCGCUCUUCCCCCAGGCAUGAAAUCUGAAGCUACCGCAAGGGGUGAAGAAAUCUUGGAACCUCAGACGGUGAUUCUCACUGGAGCCAGAGGAUCCCUUGCACUGCCAGAAUUCUGCAUGAGUGAGAUGACUCAUUCUUAAAGAAUACUUUGAGCUGCAAAUAACAGAAAAUCCAACUAACAGUAACUUAAACAAAUAGUGGCCCUAGGACAUCGAGUAAAGAUGAAGUCAUGCUCAGCCGCUUUUGGAGAAGGCGGGGAAGAAUGGAGUAUGCCUAGGAAGGUCCCCACCUGAAACAGUGAAAACGAAAGAAACUUUCAGCAUGUUAACCAGUAACACCUCUCCUCUCCCUUCCCCCCAACCCAGCUCUCUGGAAAAGUCAGCUCACAGAGGCCCAGGGGCCAAGCUGUCAGAGGACUGCAUUUUCAUCACCAUUUUCCCAAGAUGUUCCCUUCCC
rnacentral:lncRNA from 1 species